GCUACUGCUAUCGGGGUUCGAUUAAGCCAUGCGAGUUAAAUGUUCUUCGUGAACAUAGCGAACUGCUCAGUAACACGUGGAUAACCUACCCUUAGGACCGGAAUAACCCCGGGAAACUGGGGAUAAUACCGGAUAAGCCAUAGGCGCUGGAAUGCCCUAUGGUUCAAAGCUCCGGCGCCUAAGGAUGGAUCUGCGGUCUAUCAGGUUGUAGUGGGUGUAACGUACCUACUAGCCGACGACGGAUACGGGUUGUGAGAGCAAGAGCCCGGAGAUGGAUUCUGAGACACGAAUCCAGGCCCUACGGGGUGCAGCAGGCGCGAACACUUUACAAUGCGGGAAACCGCGAUAAGGGAACCCCGAGUGCCAGCAUCAAAUGUUGGCUGUCCAGAUGAUUAAAAAUCAUUUGUUAGCAAGGGCCGGGCAAGACCGGUGCCAGCCGCCGCGGUAACACCGGCGGCCCGAGUGGUAGCCGUUUUUAUUGGGUCUAAAGGGUCCGUAGCCGGCCUGAUAAGUCCUUUGGGAAAUCUGGCAGCUUAACUGUCAGGCUUCUAAGGGAUACUGUCAGGCUUGGGACCGGAAGAGGUAAGGGGUACUCCAGGGGUAGGAGUGAAAUCUUGUAAUCCCUGGGGGACCAUCUGUGGCGAAGGCGCCUUACCAGAACGGGUCCGACGGUGAGGGACGAAAGCUAGGGGAGCAAACCGGAUUAGAUACCCGGGUAGUCCUAGCUGUAAACGGUGCUCGCUAGGUGUCAGACACGGUGCGACCGUGUUUGGUGCCGCAGAGAAGCCGUUAAGCGAGCCACCUGGGAAGUACGGUCGCAAGGCUGAAACUUAAAGGAAUUGGCGGGGGAGCACUACAACGGGUGGAGCCUGCGGUUUAAUUGGAUUCAACGCCGGA
rnacentral:rRNA from 1 species